rnacentral:lncRNA from 1 species
AACUGCCCCCUCAUCUGCGGGAGGAGCCUCCUGAAGCUACUGUAACUGAAGGGUGGUGGUAUUCAUAUGGAUGUCUACUCCUCUUUUGAAUCCUAGAGGCUAAUUACACAUGGUAUGUAUAAAAAUAUUUCU